UACGGAGGGUGCAAGCGUUGUCCGGAUUUAUUGGGUUUAAAGGGUGCGUAGGCGGCCCUGUAAGUCAGUGGUGAAAUUCUUGAGCUUAACUGAAGGAUUGCCAUUGAUACUGUAGGGCUUGAGUACAGAUGAGGUAGGCGGAAUUGAUGGUGUAGCGGUGAAAUGCGUAGAUAUUCGGAAGAACACCAGUGGCGAAGGCGGCUCACUGGCCCGGUACUGACGCUGAGGUGCGAAAGCGUGGGGAGCAAACAGG
rnacentral:rRNA from 1 species